rnacentral:rRNA from 1 species
CAAUAGCGUAUAUUAACGUUGUUGCAGUUAAAAAGCUCGUAGUUGGAUUUCUGGAGGGAGCGUCGGCCCGUAUUUACGAGUGCGUGACGUCUCUGUCCAUCCUUGCGGGAAGGCACGGCAUUGAUUUGUUGUGUCGGAUCGCAUCAUUUACUGUGAAAAAAUUAGAGUGUUCAAAGCAGGCUUUCGCUUGAAUACAUUAGCAUGGAAUAAUAAGAUAGGACUUUGGUGCUAUUUUGUUGGUUGAGCCUAAAGUAAUGAUUAAUAGGGAUAGUUGGGGGCACCUGUAUUGCGUUGUCAGAGGUGAAAUUCUUGGAUUUACGCAGGACAAACAGCUGCGAAAGCGUCUGCCAAGGAUGUUUUCAUUAA